UGGAAAUGAGACGACCUUUUCCUUCCUAAUUAGCUGCAUAUCAUCACUCCUAAGCUGUAUAUGUCAUUUGAUUUGCUUCCAGCUCCUGCAAAUAACAAAUAUGAAUAUAAAGUAGUAUGCAUUUUAUUAAGCAAAUCUGAAUUUUCAAUCGAUUUUUACUGAAUUCUCUUUAAAUACUAAUAAAAUUUAACCAAAUUAUUUAAAUAAUCAAACCUAAAUGAAUUGAA
rnacentral:misc_RNA from 1 species